rnacentral:rRNA from 1 species
UACGGAGGGAGCUAGCGUUAUUCGGAAUUACUGGGCGUAAAGCGCACGUAGGCGGCUUUGUAAGUAAGAGGUGAAAGCCUGGUGCUCAACACCAGAACUGCCUUUUAGACUGCAUCGCUUGAAUCAUGGAGAGGUGAGUGGAAUUCCGAGUGUAGAGGUGAAAUUCGUAGAUAUUCGCAAGAACACCAGUGGCGAAGGCGGCUCACUGGCCCGAUACUGACGCUGAGGCACGAAAGCGUGGGGAGCAAACAGG